rnacentral:rRNA from 1 species
UACGGGGGGAGCAAGCGUUGUUCGGAUUUACUGGGCGUAAAGGGCGCGUAGGCGGCCAGCGCAAGUCAGUUGUGAAAUCUCCGAGCUUAACUCGGAAAGGUCAACUGAUACUGCGCGGCUAGAGUGCGGAAGGGGCAACUGGAAUUCUCGGUGUAGCGGUGAAAUGCGUAGAUAUCGAGAGGAACACCUGCGGCGAAGGCGGGUUGCUGGGCUGACACUGACGCUGAGGCGCGAAAGCUAGGGGAGCGAACGGG